GGUUACCUCAUGUGUGGCUUAGGCUGGCGUUUCAGCAGCUUUGAGGCGUGGUCCAUCAGCCAGGUGCAUGCCACAGUGUGGGAGAAAUAAGGCAGGAAGGAGCAUUACAAGGUGGCAUGCCUUGUACCUGGCUAGGAGGUAUAUGAACCACACACAGAGGGAGCUAUGGGGAGAGUUUUCUCUACCAAAUCCUUCUUUCAACAAGGCAACGUUUGGGGUAGAUGGUCUGCAAGUCCGUGUUAAUUGGUCUUUUACUCAUCUCCUCUAUAGAAUAUGUCUCUGGGACUGUAAAUUGAUCAAUCAAUGCAAUCAUCAGUAGUACGUAAGAUUUCCUUCACGAAAUCUCAUGGAGGAAGACCCAUGCAUGCCCAGCAUCAGAGAAUGGAUUUUAUUUGCACACAAACGCAUAAAACCUAUGCAAACAUAUUCAGUUCCAUAACUCGGGAGGCCAACCAAACUUCAAAAGAGGUACCUGUAACUCAAGCCAUGCUGAUUUCAGCAGACACUACAGGCCUUGUGGGAGGCUUGAACGUGUUUACUACAUUGCCUUCCAGUUCUGUGGGUUUAUGAGUCGGUGCAACCUCAGCUAGGAAUGCAGGCUGCUCACGUUGUGUCAAUGUCGUAUGUUUUGAACAGUGAAGUGUAUGUUGUUUGUGAACUGAGUACACAUGCCAACGUGCUACGUUCUUAUUUCCAUUUGCUUUAAGGAAAUGAUUCUCAUAUGCUAAUAUGUCAAACACGGAAGUUGAGGUAUUUAGCACAUCCUAUAUCAAAACUGUUACAAAACUGACAUAAAAUGCUAAAGGGAAAUAAUUGUAUUCCAAACAAUUCCCCUUCUUGUAUCUCUAUAAACCUUUUUAUUUACUUAUUUUUUUUUAAAUUUUUCUGGAGACAGGGUCUCAGUCUUGUCACCCAGGCUGGAGUGCAGUGGCACGAUCAUAGCUCAUUGCAGCCUUGAUCUCCUGGGCUCAAGCAAUUCUCCUGCCUCAGUCUCCCAAGUAGCUGGGACCGCUGGCACGUUUCACCAUGCCCAACUAAUUUUUUUUUAAUUUUUAUUUUUAGUAGAGAUGGGGCCUCACUAUAUUGCCCAGGCUCAUCUAGAAUCCCUGGGCUCAAGCCAUCUUCCCACCUUGGCUCCCCAAAAUGUUGGCAUUACAGGCAUGAGCCAUGCUGCUGAGCCAUACCUCUAUAAACCUUAUUCCACAUAAUUGUGCUUUUGAAACCCAUACCUUACAUAUUUGCUUGCGUUCAUUGCAUUUAUUAAUCAUUUCACAGGCCCCAAAAGAACUUCCUAUAGGUUAGACAAGCAAAAGCCCAAUUAACUUGGGCUUCAAGAUAGUCUCUCCUAAAUGUUCCCUUCUUCAAAGAAAGAAGAAUGUGCUGUGCUUGAGAAUGCACGAACGUUUUCCACCCCUAAAACCAGCAUUAGUGGUCAGAGAUGACUCCAGUACAAAUAGCCUUUUGAAAUGUUUUUGUGGAUUUCACUUUUUGUAUUCACUAGCAAUGCACGCUUCUUUCUGCAAAUGAGAAUCCACAUUUUCAGAUUUUCCAGGGUAGGGAAUUCAUUCACAUAUCUGUGCAAUUGGGAGCCUCCUGCAACAUCGAUGAAAGACGUGUGCAGGCUUGACGCCCUGGCGUUGCAACUGAUAGGGAAACAGAUGGUACUGCGGAAGCCACAUUCUUAGGAAAAUAAAAUUGCUGGAAACAACACAAAAGCCAAGGCGGGGAAAUAUUUGAAAGCGGCCUCUCGGAUAUUGGGGCUUUCUGUUUCAAUAUGGCCUUUGCUCCUCCUAAGAUUAGUUUGUAAUAAAGUCAGAUGGAUGUCCUUGUCUGAACAAACCACACCUAGGAUUUGCAAGCCGCUGACCAUCACCCAGUGGUUGGAGAGGGACAGAUGUAGAGACAGCUGUUUAUGUUAAAGGCAUUAACCACAUUUAUAUGUUGUGUAAUCAUUUUGUCAGGGAUCCAGCCCUGGAGCUCUUUUUCCCAAGGUCUUCAUCUCGGUGUCCUGGCCCACAGAGGUCACUGCAUUGGACACGCCAAAUUACAUCUAUAUUGCAUCAAUUUGGAGAAAAGAACACUCUUGCAAAAAAAUUUUUUUUAAUUUUUCUCUUUAGCAAAUUGCAUUUGUUGAAGUAAUUUCUCCUUUUGUUUUCAUUAUCAUUAGCAACUUUUUAGCCAGAGGGAUCUCAGCAAAACUUGUCAUAUUUUCUCUUGGGCAUAAGGGUGUAAUGGGAUAUUUUCCCAUUCAUCUUGUCUGUUAUUUACUGUUCAAGAAAAUUACCUUUUCUCUGGGAACAAAAGAGGAGUAACACAGUGUGAGCCAGAGGGUUGGACAAGGAUAGGAUUAUACAGGGCUUUGUGAGACUUGGAUAAGUGUUGGCACUUUAUUGUUAUUAUUAUUAUUCUCUUAUUCUAAGUGCAAAAAGAAGAGAUUAUAGAGAGUAAAGGCUUCGAUGGAUGAUAAGUGGAGAAUAGUUUGGAGGAAGUUUAUAAUGAGAGGAACAGGGGGUUCUUCCAGUAGAGCCAGGAAGCUGGGGAUGGAGGCUUAAACUAAAAUGGUCACAGUGGAAAGAAACACAAAUGAAUUCAUACAAUAUACAUAUAUUUUAAGGCAGAAAAGCUAGAACAAGAUGUUGCAUCAGUCCACUGUUUAUUUGCACCACGGAAUUUUUAAAAUUCUGUUAUUUAUUUCCUUUAGGCUUGAACGUUUUAUAAAAACUAUAAGAGAUUUAAUAAGAAAUAUUGGAAAAGGCUGGGCUCGGUGGUUCAUGCCUGUAAUCCCAGCACUUUUGGAGGCUGAGGCGGGUGGGUCACUUGAGGUCAGGAGUUCAAGACCAGCCUGGCCAACAUGGUGAAGCCCGGUCUCUACUAAAAAUACAAAAAUUAGCUGGGCACAGUGGCAUGUGCCUGUAAUUCCAGCUACUCGGGAGGCUGAGGCAGGAGAAUCGCUUGAACCCGGGAAGCAGAGGUUGCAGUGAGCCAAGAUUGCGCCACUGCACUCUAGCAUGGGCAACAGAGCGAGACUCUGUCUCAAAAAAACAGAAAUAUUGGUAAAGCAGAUAGCACUAAGAAAGGUUGGUGCUAAUUCUAGAGCAAAUAAAAUUUGUCUCAUUCUGGAAAUAAAAUGUCUUUUCCAAAUUAAAUUAAGAGACAAAUGUUUAGGGAGUUGUACUGUAUUUUGGGCACAGAAUAAAAAUAAGAAUACAAUUUCCUUAUAUAUAAUAUAAAUAAACAAAUAUAAAAAAUACGAACAAACUUCUAGGUAGGAUGGUAGCAGGAGACUGGGCAUAUAAACCCACAGAUCUCCAAGGAAAACCCAUAUCAUUAGGCAAAAUACCACAGUAUUACCCAAACUUCACAGAAUUUAUCACAUUCAGAAUUUGGCAGAAGGAAAAUGAAGGGUUAUGGAGAAGUAAUCGGCAAACCACCUUUCCCCAACCCUAAAGAGCAGUAAACCAGUGCUACGGUCUGAAAGUUUGUGUUACCCCCAAAUUCAGAUGUUGAAAUCCUAAUUCCCAAGGAGAUGGUGUUAUGAGGUGGGGCCUUUGGGAGGUGAUGAGAUUCUGAGGGUGGAGCCUCAUGAACAGGAUGAGUACCCUUAGAAAAGGGACCCCAGAGGGCUCCGACGUCCUUUCCACCAUGGAAGGACACAACAAAAAGGCACCAUCUCUGAAGCAGAGAACCUUGAUCAGAUACCAAAUCUUCUGGCACCUUAAUCUUGAACUUUCAGCCUCCAGAAGUGUGAGCAAUAAAUUUCAACUGUUUAUACAUUUUCCAGUCUAAGGAAAUUUAUAAUUGCAGUCCAAAUGGACCAAGAAAGCCAGGGGGAAAAAAAAGAGAGUAGAAAAGAAACAUAAAAUGGAUUCUCAUUAAUGCCCAAGGAGUUGCAAUGAAGGAUUGACCAUGCGAUGAAUACUCACAACCGGAAGGCUAGAAAAAGAACAGUGGGCUGGGUGCGCUGGCUCACGCCUGUAAUCCCAACACUUUGGUAGGGUAAGGAGGGCAGGUCACUUGAGGUCAGGAGUUCAAGACCAGCCUGGCCAACAUGAUGAAACCCCAUCUCUACUAAAAUUACAAAAAUUAGCCGGGCGCAGUGGCACGUGCCUGUAAUCCCAGCUACUCUGGAGGCUGAGACAAGAGAAUUGCUUGAACCAGGGAGGCAGAGGCUGCAGUAAGCCAAGACUGCACCAGUUCACUCCAGCCUGCAUGAUAGAGUGACACCCACCCCAUAAAAAAAGAAAGAAAGGCCUGGCAGUGGCUCACACCUGUAAUCCCAGCACUUUG
ensembl:lncRNA